AUGGGGUUAGUUCAUUGGUAGAAUAGUGGCCUCCAAAACCAAAGAGGUUGGUUCGAUUCCAACAUCCCGUGCCA
rnacentral:tRNA from 1 species